rnacentral:rRNA from 1 species
GACGAACGCUGGCGGCGUGCUUAACACAUGCAGGUCGAACGGAAAGGCCCUGCUUUUGUGGGGUGCUCGAGUGGCGAACGGGUGAGUAACACGUGAGUAACCUGCCCUUGACUUUGGGAUAACUUCAGGAAACUGGGGCUAAUACCGGAUAGGAGCUCCUGCUGCAUGGUGGGGGUUGGAAAGUUUCGGCGGUUGGGGAUGGACUCGCGGCUUAUCAGCUUGUUGGUGGGGUAGUGGCUUACCAAGGCUUUGACGGGUAGCCGGCCUGAGAGGGUGACCGGCCACAUUGGGACUGAGAUACGGCCCAGACUCCUACGGGAGGCAGCAGUGGGGAAUAUUGCACAAUGGGCGGAAGCCUGAUGCAGCAACGCCGCGUGCGGGAUGACGGCCUUCGGGUUGUAAACCGCUUUCGCCUGUGACGAAGCGUGAGUGACGGUAAUGUGUAAAGAAGCACCGGCUAACUACGUG